UACGUAGGGGGCAAGCGUUAUCCGGAUUUACUGGGUGUAAAGGGAGCGUAGGUGGUUUGGUAAGUCAGGUGUGAAAGCCCGGGGCUCAACUCCGGGAUUGCACUUGAAACUAUCAAACUAGAGUGCAGGAGAGGUAAGUGGAAUUCCUAGUGUAGCGGUGAAAUGCGUAGAUAUUAGGAGGAACACCAGUGGCGAAGGCGGCUUACUGGACUGUAACUGACACUGAGGCUCGAAAGCGUGGGGAGCAAACAGG
rnacentral:rRNA from 3 species